GACGUAGGGCGCGAGCGUUGUCCGGAUUUAUUGGGCGUAAAGAGCUCGUAGGCGGCUUGUCGCGUCGACUGUGAAAACCCGCGGCUCAACUGCGGGCUUGCAGUCGAUACGGGCAGGCUAGAGUUCGGUAGGGGAGACUGGAAUUCCUGGUGUAGCGGUGAAAUGCGCAGAUAUCGGGAGGAACACCGGUGGCGAAGGCGGUUCUCUGGGCCUUACCUGACGCUGAGGAGCGAAAGCGUGGGGAGCGAACAGG
rnacentral:rRNA from 1 species